rnacentral:rRNA from 1 species
GAUGAACGCUGGCGGCGUGCCUAAUACAUGCAAGUCGAGCGAACGGACGAGAAGCUUGCUUCUCUGAUGUUAGCGGCGGACGGGUGAGUAACACGUGGAUAACCUACCUAUAAGACUGGGAUAACUUCGGGAAACCGGAGCUAAUACCGGAUAAUAUUUUGAACCGCAUGGUUCAAAAGUGAAAGACGGUCUUGCUGUCACUUAUAGAUGGAUCCGCGCUGCAUUAGCUAGUUGGUAAGGUAACGGCUUACCAAGGCAACGAUGCAUAGCCGACCUGAGAGGGUGGUCGGCCACACUGGAACUGAGACACGGUCCAGACUCCUACGGGAGGCAGCAGUAGGGAAUCUUCCGCAAUGGGCGAAAGCCUGACGGAGCAACGCCGCGUGAGUGAUGAAGGUCUUCGGAUCGUAAAACUCUGUUAUUAGGGAAGAACAUAUGUGUAAGUAACUGCGCACAUCUUGACGGUACCUAAUCAGAAAGCCACGGCUAACUACGUG